UUGUCGUCAGCUCGUGUCGUGAGAUGUUGGGUUAAGUCCCGCAACGAGCGCAACCCUUGUGUUUAGUUGCAAACAGGUCAAGCUGUGCACUCUAGACAGACUGCCGUGGACAACACGGAGGAAGGUGGGGAGUGACGUCAAAUCAUCAUGCCCCUUAUGAUCAGGGCUACACACGUGCUACAAUGGCCGGUACAACGGGCAGCGAAGGAGCGAUCCGGAGCGAAUCCUAAAAAGCCGGUCCCAGUUCGGAUUGCAGGCUGAAACUCGCCUACAUGAAGUUGGAGUUGCUAGUAAUCGCGAAUCAGAAUGUCGCGGUGAAUGCGUUCCCGGGUCUU
rnacentral:rRNA from 1 species